rnacentral:rRNA from 1 species
ACCAUGCAAGUCGACGAUGAAGCCCUUCGGGGUGGAUUAGUGGCGAACGGGUGAGUAACACGUGGGCAAUCUGCCCUUCACUCUGGGACAAGCCCUGGAAACGGGGUCUAAUACCGGAUAACACUUUCCUCUGCAUGGGGGAAGGUUGAAAGCUCCGGCGGUGAAGGAUGAGCCCGCGGCCUAUCAGCUUGUUGGUGGGGUGAUGGCCCACCAAGGCGACGACGGGUAGCCGGCCUGAGAGGGCGACCGGCCACACUGGGACUGAGACACGGCCCAGACUCCUACGGGAGGCAGCAGUGGGGAAUAUUGCACAAUGGGCGAAAGCCUGAUGCAGCGACGCCGCGUGAGGGAUGACGGCCUUCGGGUUGUAAACCUCUUUCAGCAGGGAAGAAGCGAAAGUGACGGUACCUGCAGAAGAAGCGCCGGCUAACUACGUGCCAGCAGCCGCGGUAAUACGUAGGGCGCAAGCGUUGUCCGGAAUUAUUGGGCGUAAAGAGCUCGUAGGCGGCUUGUCGCGUCGGAUGUGAAAGCCCGGGGCUUAACCCCGGGUCUGCAUUCGAUACGGGCAGGCUAGAGUGUGGUAGGGGAGAUCGGAAUUCCUGGUGUAGCGGUGAAAUGCGCAGAUAUCAGGAGGAACACCGGUGGCGAAGGCGGAUCUCUGGGCCAUUACUGACGCUGAGGAGCGAAAGCGUGGGGAGCGAACAGGAUUAGAUACCCUGGUAGUCCACGCCGUAAACGUUGGGAACUAGGUGUUGGCGACAUUCCACGUCGUCGGUGCCGCAGCUAA